GCACCAAUGGGGUAGUGGUAACCUGGGUCGUUGCCAUUGCGAGAAUAUCGACCCGCCUGGGGUUUGAUUCCCUCUUGAUGCA